rnacentral:rRNA from 1 species
UAGUCCAUGCCGUAAACGAUGAACACUAGGUGUGGCGGACUCAUUGACGUCUGCCGUGCCGCAGCUAACGCAUUAAACAUUCCGCCUGGGGAGUACGGUCGCAAGAAUGAAACUCAAAGGAAUUGACGGGGGCCCGCACAAGCGGUGGAGCAUGUGGUUUAAUCCGAUGAUACGCGAGGAACCUUACCAGGGCUUAAAUGUAGAGUGACAGAUCUAGAGAUAGAUUUUUCUUCGGACACUUUACAAGGUGCUGCAUGGUUGUCGUCAGCUCGUGCCGUGAGGUGUCAGGUUAAGUCCUAUAACGAGCGCAACCCCUGUUGUUAGUUGCCAGCGAGUAAUGUCGGGAACUCUAACAAGACUGCCGGUGCAAACCGUGAGGAAGGUGGGGAUGACGUCAAAUCAUCACGGCCCUUACGUCCUGGGCUACACACGUGCUACAAUGGUAGGUACAGAGAGCAGCCACUACGCGAGUAGGAGCGAAUCUAUAAAACCUAUCAC